rnacentral:rRNA from 1 species
CAGCCGCCGCGGGAACACAGAGGGUGCGAGCGUUAAUCGGAUUUACUGGGCGUAAAGCGUGCGUAGGCGGCUUCUUAAGUCGGAUGUGAAAUCCCUGAGCUUAACUUAGGAAUUGCAUUCGAUACUGGUAAGCUAGAGUAUGGGAGAGGAUGGUAGAAUUCCAGGUGUAGCGGUGAAAUGCGUAGAGAUCUGUAGGAAUACCGAUGGCGAAGGCAGCCAUCUGGCCUAAUACUGACGCUGAGGUACGAAAGCAUGGGGAGCAAACAGGAUUAGAUACCCCGGUAGUCCCUGUCUCUUAUAC